rnacentral:tRNA from 1 species
GGAGAUGUAGCGAAGUGGUCAUAACGCGGCUGACUCGAAAUCAGUUUGCCGUUUACGCGGCACGUGGGUUCGAAUCCCACCGUCUCCGCCA